GUGAGGAAUAUUGCGCAAUGGAGGCAACUCUGACGCAGCCAUGCCGCGUGCAGGAAGAAGGCGCUACGCGUUGUAAACUGCUUUUAACCGGGAAGAAACCCCAGGACGUGUCCUGGGUUGACGGUACCGGAGGAAUAAGCACCGGCUAACUUCGUGCCAGCAGCCGCGGUAAUACGAAGGGUGCAAGCGUUAUCCGGAUUCAUUGGGUUUAAAGGGUGCGUAGGCGGACCGUUAAGUCAGUGGUGAAAUCCUGCAGCUUAACUGUAGACUUGCCAUUGAUACUGGCGCUCUUGAGUGCGCUUGAAGUGGGCGGAAUGUGCCGUGUAGCGGUGAAAUGCUUAGAUAUGGCACAGAACACCAAUUGCGAAGGCAGCUCACUAAGGCGAUACUGACGCUGAGGCACGAAAGCGUGGGGAUCGAACAGGAUUAGAAACCCCGGUAGUCC
rnacentral:rRNA from 1 species